rnacentral:rRNA from 1 species
GAUGAACGCUGGCGGCGUGCCUAAUACAUGCAAGUCGAGCGAACGGACGAGAAGCUUGCUUCUCUGAUGUUAGCGGCGGACGGGUGAGUAACACGUGGAUAACCUACCUAUAAGACUGGGAUAACUUCGGGAAACCGGAGCUAAUACCGGAUAAUAUUUUGAACCGCAUGGUUCAAAAGUGACAGACGGUCUUGCUGUCACUUAUAGAUGUAUCCGCGCUGCAUUAGCUAGUUGGUAAGGUAACGGCUUACCAAGGCAACGAUGCAUAGCCGACCUGAGAGGGUGAUCGGCCACACUGGAACUGAGACACGGUCCAGACUCCUACGGGAGGCAGCAGUAGGGAAUCUUCCGCAAUGGGCGAAAGCCUGACGGAGCAACGCCGCGUGAGUGAUGAAGGUCUUCGGAUCGUAAAACUCUGUUAUUAGGGAAGAACAUAUGUGUAAGUAACUGUGCACAUCUUGACGGUACCUAAUCAGAAAGCCACGGCUAACUACGUG